rnacentral:rRNA from 1 species
GACGGAGGGUGCUAGCGUUGUUCGGCAUCACUGGGCGUAAAGGGCGCGUAGGCGGCCUUUGGUGUCGGAUGUGAAAGCCCGGGGCUCAACCCCGGAGGUGCAUCCGAAACUCGAAGGCUGGAGGCCUGAAGAGGAGGGUGGAAUACCCAGUGUAGAGGUGAAAUUCGUAGAUAUUGGGUGGAACACCGGUGGCGAAAGCGGCUCUCUGGUCCGGUCCUGACGCUGAGUCGCGAAAGCGUGGGGAGCAAACAGG